UACAGAGGGGGCAAGCGUUGUUCGGAAUUACUGGGCGUAAAGGGCGCGUAGGCGGCCUUCUAAGUCGAACGUGAAAUCCCCGGGCUCAACCCGGGAACUGCGUCCGAUACUGGAAGGCUUGAAUCCGGGAGAGGUGAGUGGAACUGCGAGUGUAGAGGUGAAAUUCGUAGAUAUUCGCAAGAACACCAGUGGCGAAGGCGGCUCACUGGCCCGAUACUGACGCUGAGGCACGAAAGCGUGGGGAGCAAACAGG
rnacentral:rRNA from 1 species